rnacentral:rRNA from 1 species
UGGGGAAUAUUGCACAAUGGGCGAAAGCCUGAUGCAGCGACGCCGCGUGAGGGAUGACGGCCUUCGGGUUGUAAACCUCUUUCAGCAGGGAAGAAGCGAAAGUGACGGUACCUGCAGAAGAAGCACCGGCUAACUACGUGCCAGCAGCCGCGGUAAUACGUAGGGUGCGAGCGUUGUCCGGAAUUAUUGGGCGUAAAGAGCUUGUAGGCGGUUUGUCGCGUCUGCAGUGAAAAUCCGGGGCUCAACCCCGGACUUGCUGUGGGUACGGGCAGACUAGAGUGUGGUAGGGGAGACCGGAAUUCCUGGUGUAGCGGUGGAAUGCGCAGAUAUCAGGAGGAACACCGAUGGCGAAGGCAGGUCUCUGGGCCACAACUGACGCUGAGAAGCGAAAGCAUGGGGAGCGAACAGG